rnacentral:rRNA from 1 species
GAUGAACGCUGGCGGCGUGCCUAAUACAUGCAAGUCGAGCGAACGGACGAGAAGCUUUCUCCUCUGAGGUUAGCGGCGGACGGGUGGGUAACACGUGGAUAACCUACCUAUAAUACUGGGAGAACUUCGGGAAACCGUAGCUAAUACCAGAGAAUAUUUUGUACGGGAUGGUUCAAAAGUGAAAGACAGUCUUGCUGUCACUUAUAGAUGGUUCCGCGUUGCAUUAGCUAGUUGGUAAGGUAACGGCUUACCAAGGCGACGAUGCAUAGCCGACCUGAGAGGGUGAUCGGCCACACUGGAACUGAGACACGGUCCAGACUCCUACGGGAGGCAGCAGUAGGGAAUCUUGCACAAUGGGCGCAAGCCUGACCGAGCCACGCCGCGUGAGUGAUGAAGGUCUUCGGAUCGUAAAGCUCUGUUAUUAGGAAAGAAAAUCUGCAUAUGUAUCUCUGGCCAUCCUGACGGUACCUAAUCAAUAAGCCCCGGCUAACUUCGUG